GACGGGGGGGGCAAGUGUUCUUCGGAAUGACUGGGCGUAAAGGGCACGUAGGCGGUGAAUCGGGUUGAAAGUGAAAGUCGCCAAAAAGUGGCGGAAUGCUCUCGAAACCAAUUCACUUGAGUGAGACAGAGGAGAGUGGAAUUUCGUGUGUAGGGGUGAAAUCCGUAGAUAUCGGAAGGAACACCAGUGGCGAAGGCGACUUCCUGGACCAUUACUGACACUGAGGCGCGAAAGCGUGGGGAGCGAACAGG
rnacentral:rRNA from 1 species